CGCCUCAGCCAAUCGGGUGGGGGAGCCCAAGCAGCAAUAUAAAGUAAGGAUUCUCAUCUUCCAGCCACACAGUUACCAAGAAAAGGGACUCGCUUCCUGGAGUGGCUGAAAGUGCUCUGGACGGCGGGCCAGGCCCAUCAUGGCGGACAGCGGGAGAGCCGGGCAAGAGGAAGCACCACGAGUGAGGCAGGCUGGGAGCCUCAGGGAACCAAAGUUCCGAGGGCUCUUCUCCAGCCUGAAGGCUGGGGGAAAUCCCAUUCAAUGGAGCCGAAGGAAGAUGGACACAGACUGGCUGGCCCCCAGAGCCACUUCAAGACCCUGGUCAAGCAGCACUGUGGAUGGCACGACCUCUACAGGUGAAAGGCAAGAAAGUCCAUGAAGACUCUGCUUUCUGGGGGAGAAGCAGGGUGUGGGGGAUGGGGAAGUGGUCCGGAAUAGGGAUGAAACCGUUUGUUGGGCAGAGAGUCCAAUUCACACUUAGCUGAAGUCCAUUCUCUAGUCCUAUGAAGCAGGAAAAGAGGCAGCCACUAGAAAGGUUCUGGGCCCUAAUACUUCAAAUCAAAUUCCUCAGAUCUCCCUAUUAGGAAAAUUCUCCCAUCAGAGCAGCAGUAGAUGUUCUUCAUAUGUCAUCUUCCACUCUCUAGCCAUGAGUUUCAUUGUCAGGGUCAGGGAAAACUAAUGGCUCCCAUAUAAAAAGUGACUCAUAAUGUUAUUAUAUGAGAGAGUAAGAUAGCUCCAGCCAAGGUCACCUCUCACCUGUUUCAGUCUUUGGAGACAGCACUGUGGUCUAAUUCUUUAAGAUCAUGAAAGGGUAGCAAGCUGCCAUCAC
rnacentral:lncRNA from 1 species